UACGGAGGGUGCGAGCGUUGUUCGGAAUCAUUGGGCGUAAAGGGCGAGUAGGCGGUAGGGUUUGUCUGAUGUGAAAACCCGGGGCUUAACUCCGGAAGUGCAUUGGAAACUACCCUACUUGAGUCUCGGAGAGGGUGAUGGAAUUCCUGGUGUAGAGGUGAAAUUCGUAGAUAUCAGUGAGGAACACCGGUGGCGAAGGCGGUCACCUGGACGAAGACUGACGCUGAGGAGCGAAAGCGUGGGGAGCAAACAGG
rnacentral:rRNA from 1 species